rnacentral:rRNA from 1 species
UACGGGGGGGGCAAGCGUUGUUCGGAAUUAUUGGGCGUAAAGGGCUCGUAGGCGGCCAACUAAGUCUGACGUGAAAUCCCCAGGCUCAACCUGGGAACUGCGUCUGAUACUGGAUGGCUUGAAUCCGGGAGAGGGAUGCAGAAUUCCAGGUGUAGCGGUGAAAUGCGUAGAUAUCUGGAGGAAUACCGGUGGCGAAGGCGGCAUCCUGGACCGGCAUUGACGCUGAGGAGCGAAAGCUAGGGGAGCAAACGGG